CUACUAAAUUUUCAAAAUGGUCAUGCCACUGCUCUUCUUUUUGCUCUUUAAGAAUCAUAAAAUCCCAGUUCAUAUGUUUAUGCCUUAAGAGUAAUUAGAAUGGGUAUAGAUCAUUACAUCAUACUUCUGAGCUAAUGAUUAUACUGGUCAAUCAUGUUUGGUAAGUUUUCAGUCUAUCGUCUAUCAGUACAACCAAAAAAAUGAAACAUACCUUUGAAAAUUGAAAUCGAAUCGAGCUCGGAACAACUGCAGCAGCGUCUUCGACUUUUCGUUUGCCCGAAAUUUGUGAGGAGUGAGGAAUUGAAUCGAGCUCGGAAAUCGCCAAAUACCCUAAUCGCCUAUUCACAAUACUCAGUCUGACUAUCGUCAUCUAUGAGUACUCCUAAG
rnacentral:lncRNA from 1 species